GGUGGAUGAGGAUACCGAACC
rnacentral:misc_RNA from 1 species